CUGCAGGGCGGGGCCGCGCGGCGGCCAACGGCUCCGCGCCUGACGGAGGUUCUGCCUUUUCCCUCAUUCCUCGCCUUUUGAGGGCCUGCCAUGACUCAGGGUUCACCGUGAGAGUUCGGGCUGUGCGUGCACACGCUUUGGAAAACCGGCAGAAAAAGUCAAAUAGGGAGCCAACUGUGUUAGAGUCCAGACAGCAACACAGUUUCCUCUGGAGCUGUUCAGAGCUGGAAGCAUUGCUCCCACUGGCAGCACUGGAUGGAGGUGCAGGACUGAGCUGUGACGCUUGCCCCAGGUGCAGCCYGCUGCCUCCCAUGUCAGGGCUGCCUUGCAGCAGGUGAGCUGUUCUCCAGCAUCACGGGCCAACUUCAGGAGGGAAAGUGCCAAAUCUGAAGUAAAUUACUGCCUGUCUGGAGCGUAAAACUCAUAAUGCUUCACAGACGUUUGACAAGACCAAAAACCAAAGCCGCUUAGGAGGAGCUGUGUGCCAAAUGGAGGGAGGCCAAGAAUAAGGGAAACAGAAAGAAGAUGUAGAGAUCAGCUUCUGCAGUAAUACUAACAGUCUGAACUUACACAGAUGCCCAUGUUCCGAAUUGUGAUGUAUUAUUUUAUUUAUCUCAUAAUUUUUGACAUAAACAAACUGCUUUUCUGAUUCAAGAUGUGCUUUGGAUUACUGUUGCUGUGUACACUGAUAAUAUCAACACUUUCUGUAUAAGAUGAAGUCAUUCUGAUCAGACAGUUACAUCCCCUUGCCUGCAAGAUGUUGCAAAGACUGGUCUUAUGUACCUGCCUACCUUACACAAUUGAAGAAAUUGUGAACAAGAUAUUUUUUUAUGUCUGAAUAAUGGCUUGAUAAUGGAGUGAUGAGCUUGCAGUGCAGCAAUCACAUUUUGUGUAUGAACUUAUAUAUGUACGUUAAGGMUAAAAAGAGAGGUGCUUGCUUAUAAUAGGAAACUGAGUUGUUUGAAAUUUCACUUUCUGCUGAUCCUAAUUUGAGGGUAUAUUAGUUCACUAGGUCUAAUCCUAUAUAUGUUAGUCAGCUGGACUCCUUUCAUUAUUUUCACUAUAUUAACUGAAUAAGUAGAGAUCAGAUUUCAGUGGAAAGUUUUAUCUCUGGUAUAACUAUACUUAAGUAGUAAGCUCUAGGGACUAUAUUUUAAUUAUAUUCCUGUGAUAUAACUGUUGACUUUCUCAUUAUUAAAUGAUUCAUUCUUUUUUAAAGCUCCGCUAAGGUUAAUAACUCAUAACAGAUUCCAAAAGUCAUUUGUGUUUCGUCUAAAAACCUCCCUCCUUUUAACAAAGUAAAUGCAGCACAUUCCAUUUUAUUAUAACAA
rnacentral:lncRNA from 1 species